UACGGAGGGUGCGAGCGUUAUUCGGAAUCACUGGGCGUAAAGGGCGCGUAGGCGGUCUGGUAAGUCAGGGGUGAAAUCCCACGGCCCAACCGUGGAACUGCCUUUGAAACUGCUGGGCUUGGAUCCUGGAGAGGGUGGCGGAAUUCCUGGUGUAGGAGUGAAAUCCGUAGAUAUCAGGAGGAACACCGGUGGCGAAGGCGGCCACCUGGACAGGUAUCGACGCUGAGGCGCGAAAGUGUGGGGAGCAAACAGG
rnacentral:rRNA from 1 species